UUUUGGGGUACAAUCAGCGGUGGGGGUUAUUGGGGUGCAGUUUUGGGGUGCAGUUAUUGGGGUACAGUUAUUGGGGUACAGUUAUUGGGGUGUACAGUGUUGGGGUACAGUUUUUGGGGUACAGUUUUCGGGGUACAGUUUUGGGGUGCAGUCAGUGAUGGCGGUUUUUGGGGUACAGUUUUUGGGGUACAUUUUUAGGGUACAGUUUUGGGGGUACAGUGUUGGGGUGCAAUCAGUGAUGGCGGUUUUUGGGGUACAGUUUUUGGGGUACAGUUUUCAGAGUACAUUUCUAGGAUACAGUUUUCGGAUACAGUUUUUGGGGUACAUUUUUAGGAUACAGUUUUCAGGGUACAGUUAUUAGGGUACAGUUUUCGAGGUACAGUUUUUGGGGUACAGUUUUUGGGGUACAGUGUUGGGGUACAGUUUUGGGGUGCAGUUAGCGGGGUGCAGUUUGGGGGUACGGUUUUUGGGGUACGUUUUUGGGGUACAGUCAGUGAUGGGGGUUAUUGGGGGACAGUUUUUGGGGUACAGUUUUUGGGGUACAAUCAGUGAUGGCGGUUUUUGGGGUACAUUUUUAGGGUACAGUUUUUGGGGUACAGUUUUUGGGGUACAGUUUCGGGGUGCAGUUUUGGGAUACAAUCAGUGAUGGCAGUUACUGGGGUACAGUUUUUGGGGUACAGUGUUGGGGUACAGUUUUGGGGUGCAGUUAGCGGGGUGCAGUUCGGGGGUACAGUUUUUGGGGUACAGUUUUGGGGUACAAUCAGUGAUGGCGGUUUUUGGGGUACAUUUUUAGGAUACGGUUUUUGGCGUAGAGUUUUCGGGGUACAUUUCUAGGACACAUUUAUCGGGGUACAGUUUUUGGGGUACAGUUUUUGGGGUACAGUUUAUGGGGUACAUUUUUAGGGUACAGUUUUUGGGGUACAGUUUUCGGGGUACAUUUCUAGGGUACAUUUCUAGGGUACAGUUUUUGGGGUACAUUUCUAGGAUACAAUUUUUGCGGCACACUUUUCAGGCUACAUUCCCACGACGCAGUUACCAGGCGGCCGUUUCGGGGUGUACGCUCACUCCAACCUCCUCUGAGCUGCCAAAACCCCUUUGCCCAACCCUUUCUUGGGGUCCCCCACCCCAUUUC
rnacentral:lncRNA from 1 species